UUCACUGUAUAGUCCAGGCUGGUUUCAAACUCACCUCCUGCCCCAGGCCCCACGAGAGAGCAAAAGCCCAGUGGUUAAGAAGCCUCAGAAUCUUCUCUAGGAAGAGACAGGAGGGCUUCAUUGAGUUUGUCCAUGGCCAAGCACUGGCUGCUUGGAUGCUGGUCAGCUUCACCAAUGGUCGGUAUAGAUCAACAUAGAACCUGACUCUAAAUCAUCUGGUAAACUCUCCAACUGAGCAGACAUAAGGAGUUUGGCCUUUCCAGGUCACAUCAGAGUUGCUUAGUUCAUGGACCCUACAAGGCAACCCUACAAGGCAUCAGUUGCUGGCACCUGUUGUAUGUCUCUAUGGCAGUUGGUUCUGGAGCUGGGCCAUGCCAUUGUAAGAUUCGUGGUAGCUCAAAAUAACCACGGUUGUAAAAAGUAAAUGUGUUCUUUUCCCAGAAUUUGCCUCACUGCAUGCAAGGUAUGCCAAGAGAUAGGCCUCUGAGUAUAUAGAAAAGCCCACACAAUGUCUCCGGCCCUUAAGUCUUCCUUAAGUCUGCCCCCUUAAUGCCAUUAAAGGUUAACCAAUGAAAAACUGCUCUAAGAAACGUAUAAAAGGUGUGUGUUUUAGCUACUCAGGGUCGUUUCAAUCCCAAUUUCAGGAAGAGCCCAGCAUGCUGGAUUAAUAAACCUCUUGCUUUUUGCAUCGAUCUCCGUCUCUGCAUCUCUGUGAGUGGGGCAUCCCGGACGUAAGGCUUUUUGGAUCUUACAUUUGGUGGGUUGGUCCGGAAAGUCCUUCUUGCAGGACCAGUGGCUGAGACCAGAAGACUGCUCCAGCAGAGGAAAAACAGCGCAUCCUCUUGGAGGCCAGGAAGAACGUCCAAGGGGAGGAUCGGUGUCCUUCCCUCCUGCCUGUGGAUAUUGAUGCAGGCUUCCCAUUGACCAGACCGAACUGGAACUUCAACACCCCAGAAGGUAGGAAGCAUCUCAAAGUCUACCGCUAUGCUCUAAUGGCAGGUCUCAGAGGGGCAGCACACAACCCUACCACUUUGACUAAGGUAAGGGAAGUGGUGCAGGGGCCAAAUGAGUCUCCCUCUGCCUUCCUAGAGAGACUCAUGGAGGCCUUUCACCAAUUUACCCCUUUGAUCCUAACAGUGAGGAGCAUAAGGCAACAGUUACUGUCACCCUUAUCAGCCAAGCUAGCAGAGAUAUAAGGAAAAAGUUGCAGAAACUUGAAGAGUUACAGGACAGGUCCUUGAGAGAGUUAGUGCAAGUAGCCGAGAAGGUAUAUCAUAACCAAGAGUCAGGAGAAGAGAAGAAGGAGAGAAAGCAGAAAGAACAGGAGGCUAGAGAGCUCGAAAGAGAGAAGAGACAGGACAAGAACCUCCAUAGGAUCUUGGCCGCUGUAGUUAGACAAACUAGAGAACCUAGUAAGACAAUACCAGGCAACAGAAGGGAGCCUCUGGCUAAGGACCAAUGAGCUUACUGUAAAGAAAAAGGUCAUUGGAUGAGAGACUGUCCCAAGGAGAAGAAGAGGGAACCUCAAGCCUCUGAAAAGAGACUACCAGGCCCCAAGGUGCUAGCUAUGCAAGAAGACAGUGACUGGGGGAGACAUAUUCAGAUCCCCUCCCAAACCCAGGGUAACCCUUAAAGUGGAGGGGAAACCCACCCAGUUUCUUGUAGACACAGGGGCCCAACACUCAGUCCUAUUACAAACAGAUGGACCCAUUUCCAAUAAGAAGUCCGGGGUCCAGGGGGCCACAGGAAACAAACAAUACUCAUGGACUACCGGAAGAACAGUGGAUCUUGGUGUGGGCAGGGUAUCCCACUCGUUCAUUGUUAUUCCUGAAUGCCUCUAUCCCCUGCUGGGGAGAGACCUCCUCACCAAGAUAGGAGCACAGAUCCAUUUCCUUCCUGAGGGAACACAGGUCAAGGGCCGUCAGGGAGAGUCUAUCCAGGUAUUGACCAUGAAGUUAGAGGAUGAAUAUCAAUUGUUUGAAGACAGGAGUCAAAAAGUUAAAGAUAUGGAUUGGUGGUUGCAGAACUAUCCACAGGCAUGGGCAGAGACUGCAGGAAUGGGGAAAGCCAAAAAUCACACACACACACACACACACACACACACACACACACACACACACACAGAGUCUAUGUAGACCUGAAAGCCCAAGCUAGCCCGAUAACAGUCUGCCAGUAUCCUAUGUCUAAGGAAACUCGAGAUGGAAUUCGACCUCACAUUUUGCACCUCCUCCAAUUGAGGACUCUGCAAAAAUGUCAGUUUGUGCCAGGUGUGGCGGCGCACGCCUUUAAUCCCAGCACUUGGGAGGCAGAGGCAGGUGGAUUUCUGAGUUCAAGGCCAGCCUGGUCUACAAAGUGAGUUCCAGGACAGUCAGGGCUAUACAGAGAAACCCUGUCUCGAAAAACCAAAAAAAAAAAAAUCAAUCAAUCAAUCAAUCAAUCAAUCAAUCAGUCUGCAUGGAACACCCCACUCCUCCCCAUGCAGAAGCCUGGAACUAAUGACUAUUGACCUGUCCAGGACCUCAGGGAAGUGAAUAAGCAGGUAACUGAUCUCCACCCGACGGUCCCGCAUCCAAAUAAUCUGUUGAGUUCCUUGCCUCCCUCCAGAACUUGGUACACAGUGUUGGAUCUCAAAGAUGCCUUCUUCUGCCUAUCCCUGGCCACCAAGAGUCAGGAAUAUUUUGCCUUUGAAUGGAAAGACCCAGACUCGGGCAUGACGGGCCAACUCACCUGGACACGUCUGCCCCAACACUUGAAGAACUUUUCCACUAUUGUUGAUGAAGCCCUCCACCAAGACUUGGCCACAUUCCGGGCAGCCAACCCCCAGGUAACUCUCUUGCAGUACUUAGAUGGCCUUCUUUUAGUUGCUUCCAGCAAAGACCUGUGCUUUAUAAGGAACAGAGCGCCUCCUCACUGAACUGGGAGAACUGGGCUACAGUGCCUCAGCUAAAAAGGCCCAAAUCUGCAGCCAGCAGGUUAGUUACCUGGGGUAUCUGCUCAAGGGAGGAAAGAUGUGGCUUCAGAAGCUAGAAAAGAAACUGUGUUCCAUAUUCCACUGCCCACCAACCAGAAACAAGUCAGAGAGUUUUUGGGCAUGGCAGGUUUCUAUUGUCUAUGGAUACCUGGAUUCGCUGAGAUGGCAGCUCCACUAUACCCACUCACUAAGAACAAAUACCUUUUGCCUGGGGAGAAAAAGAGCAAUGGGCUUUUGAUGCCAUUAAGACAGCCUUAAUGUCAGCCCCUGCCCUGGGUCUCCCAGAUGUGACCAAGCCCUUCCAUUUGUUUGUCGCAGAAAAUAAGGGCAUAGCAAAAGGGGUCUUGACCCAGAAGCUGGGACCAUGGAAAAGGCCAGUAGCAUAUCUGUCCAAAAAGCUAGACCCAGUGGCAGCAAGGUGGCCUGCCUGCCUGAGGAUUGUGGCUGAGGUUGCUGUACUGGUUAAAGAUGCAGACAAAUUAACUAUGGGACAGGACUUGGUAGUAUCUGUUCCACACCCUUUGAAGAGCGUGGUCUGCCAGCCGCCUGAUCCGUGGCUCAUCAGUGCUCGUAUGACAUACUAUCAGACUCUGUUGCUCAACUCUUGACAGAAUUAUGUUUGCACCCCCUACGGGCCUGAACCCGGCCACUCUGCUCCCAGACCCUGACCUUGAGCCUCCUAUUCAUGACUGUCAGCAAGUACUUGCUGAAGCACACGGCUGGCGUAAAGAUUUGUCUGAUCAGCCCUUAGAGGUCACUGAGGCCACUUGGUUUACUGAUGGGAGCAGUUUCCUGGAAGGAGAGAAGCAGGGGGGGGGGGCUGCCAUACGUGUGGGCAUAAGCUCUGCCUGAAGGGACCUCCACCCAAAAGGCUGGGCUCUUUGCUCUCACCAAGGCCCUCGAGUUGGGGGAAGGCAAGAAGAUCAACAUCUACAUGGACAGCAGGUAUGCCUUUGCCACAGCGCAUGUUCAUGGUGCCGCCUACCAGCAGCAAGGGCUGCUGACCUCCAGAGAAAAAGAGAUUAAACACAAAACUGAGAUUCUGGCCCUGUUAAAAGCCCUGCAGAAGCCAGCAAAAGUAAGUAUCAUACAUUGUCCGGGCCACCAGAAGAGCUAGAGGAAAUAACCUGGCAGACCGACCAGGAGGCCAAAGCAGUGGCCUCAAGAGUCACCCCAGUGAUGGUGGUCCGAGACCCGGGAAUACUGGGACCCAAGCUCUGGUACUCUGCUGAAGAUCUGGCAAUCAUCUCAAAAGAUCCCAAUAACUGUCUCGAUCAAGAAAGAGAAUUCUGAAGCCAGGUGUGGUGGUGCACUCCUUUAAUCCCAGCACUUGGGAGGCAGAGGCAGGCGGAUUUCUGAGUUUGAGGUUAGCUUGGUCUACAGAGUGAGUUCCAGGACAGCCAGGACAGUCAGAGCUACAAAGGGAAACCCUGUCUCAAAAAACACACAAACAAACAAACAAUCAAACAAACAAACAAACAAACAGAAAGAGAGAACUCAUUUCAUUCUUUCUACCUGCCCUGAACUUUGAGGUCUAUAGACACAAUGUAAUUUCCAAUCGACCUCUAGAUUGAUGCAUGGCAUCAAUGCCAUCAGGAAAGAAGAUUCUACCACAAGAACAAGCACAAUGACAAGACAAAUGCAUCAAUGGACUCAUCUGGGGGUAAGCAAACUAAUUCAAACUGCUUUGAAAUCUAAGUAUUAUAUUCCAGGAUUAAAACACCUGGUGGAACAAAUCGUUCACAACUGCAUGCCCUGUCAAAAGGGAAAUGCUUGCAGAAGCAAAGCUGCCCCCGUCAGAGACUCAGAGGAGAUUGACCAGGAGGAGCCUACUGGGAAGUGGACCUCACUGAAGUAAAACUGAGCAAGUAUGGCUCUAAGUGCCUUCUAGUGUUUGUGGAUACUUUUCAGGAUGGGUAGAAGCUUUACCCACCAAGCAGGAGUCGGCCUCCGUAGUUGCCAAGAAGAUACUGGAAGAGAUCUUUCCUUGGUUUGGAGUACCCAAGGUAAUAAGGUCAGACAAUGGCCCUGCCUUCACUGCCAAAGUCAGGGAGUGACCAAGUAUCUAGAGGUCGAUUGGAAAUUACAUUGUGUCUAUAGACCUCAAAGUUCAGGGCAGGUAGAAAGAAUGAAUAGAACUCUAAAGGAGACCUUGACUAAAUUAACCAUGGAGACUGGCACAGUCUGGGUGGUACUCCUUCCCCUAGCCCUGUUUAGGGUCAGAAAUAUCCCUUCCCGUUUCAGUUUGACUCCCUUUGAAAUCCUGUAUGGGACCCCAGUGCCCCUAACUCUACUGGGGGACGUUAUUGAACCAACCUGCCAUAGUAAUGAUUUAUAUGCUAGGUUAAAAGGUCUACAGGUGGUGCGAAAAGAAGUGUGGUCCCAGUUGGCAGCUGCCUACGAACCUGGCACCCCUGAGGCAUCACAUGGCUCCAGGUUGGAGAUUUAGUCUACGUGAGGUGACAUCAUGCCCAGACACUUGAGCCCCGGUGGAAAGGACCCUACUUAGUACUGCUGACCACUCCAACAACUGUAAAAUUGGACAGAAUCACUGCCUGGAUACAUGCCUCACAUAUGAAGCCUGCCCCCUCAACAGAAACUGGAGUUCCAGAAGACCACCUUAUCUGAAAGGCCCAGACUACAGAGAACCCUCUGAAACUGAAAAUCACCAGGAAGCCUAAAGAUGGGAGUCCUCCCCCUGGUACUGUGUCUUAACAUCCUCCCCUUAUGUUUUACCAGCCCUGGUCCCCACCAGCCUUGUAACCUAACGUGGCAAGUAAUAAAUGGGGCAGGAGACACUA